rnacentral:misc_RNA from 1 species
UGGCUCUCGCAUCGAUGAAGAACGCAGCGAAAUGCGAUAAGUAAUGUGAAUUGCAGAAUUCAGUGAAUCAUCGAAUCUUUGAACGCACCUUGCGCUCCUUGGUAUUCCAUGGAGCAUGCCUGUUUGAGUGUCACGUAAACCCUCACCCCUUGCGAUGUCAGAGUCGCUGGAGGUGGACUUGGACUGUGCCGUGACCGGCUCGUCCUGAAAUGAAUUAGCCGGUGCCUUUUAGAGUGCUUGGCAUGGUGUGAUAAUUAUCUGCGCCGCCGCCUUGGGCCUCUUUUGUGAGCGCUGCUGACAGCCGUCCCUCCGUGGACAACGUACAAAGCUUUGGCCUCAAAUCAGGUAGGACUACCCGCUGA